rnacentral:rRNA from 1 species
UACGGAAGGCAGCAGUGGGGAAUCUUGCGCAAUGGGCGAAAGCCUGACGCAGCCAUGCCGCGUGAAUGAUGAAGGUCUUAGGAUUGUAAAAUUCUUUCACCGGGGACGAUAAUGACGGUACCCGGAGAAGAAGCCCCGGCUAACUUCGUGCCAGCAGCCGCGGUAAUACGAAGGGGCUAGCGUUGCUCGGAAUUACUGGGCGUAAAGGGCGCGUAGGCGGAUCGUUAAGUCAGAGGUGAAAUCCCAGGGCUCAACCCUGGAACUGCCUUUGAUACUGGCGAUCUUGAGUAUGAGAGAGGUAUGUGGAACUCCGAGUGUAGAGGUGAAAUUCGUAGAUAUUCGGAAGAACACCAGUGGCGAAGGCGACAUACUGGGCUCAUUACUGACGCUGAGGCGCGAAAGCGUGGGGAGCAAACAGGGAUUAGAUACC